rnacentral:misc_RNA from 1 species
AUUCCUGAAGUCCCAAUGCC